GUGCCAGCAGCCGCGGUAAUACGGAGGGUGCAAGCGUUAUCCGGAUUCACUGGGUUUAAAGGGUGUGUAGGCGGGCUGUUAAGUCAGUGGUGAAAUCUCCGGGCUCAACCCGGAAACUGCCAUUGAUACUAAUGGUCUUGAAUUUUGUUGAGGUAGGCGGAAUAUGUCAUGUAGCGGUGAAAUGCUUAGAUAUGACAUAGAACACCGAUUGCGAAGGCAGCUUACUAAGCAAAUAUUGACGCUGAGGCACGAAAGCGUGGGGAUCAAACAGGAUUAGAAACCCCCGUAGUCC
rnacentral:rRNA from 1 species